rnacentral:rRNA from 1 species
UUGGUGGGGUAAUGGCCUACCAAGGCGAGGACGGGUAGCCGGCCUGAGAGGGCGACCGGCCACACUGGGACUGAGACACGGCCCAGACUCCUACGGGAGGCAGCAGUGGGGAAUAUUGCACAAUGGGCGGAAGCCUGAUGCAGCGACGCCGCGUGAGGGAUGACGGCCUUCGGGUUGUAAACCUCUUUCAGCAGGGACGAAGCGCAAGUGACGGUACCUGCAGAAGAAGCGCCGGCCAACUACGUGCCAGCAGCCGCGGUAAGACGUAGGGCGCGAGCGUUGUCCGGAUUUAUUGGGCGUAAAGAGCUCGUAGGCGGCUUGUCGCGUCGAAUGUGAAAUCUCGGGGCUCAACUCCGAGCUUGCAUUCGAUACGGGCAGGCUAGAGUUCGGUAGGGGAGACUGGAAUUCCUGGUGUAGCGGUGAAAUGCGCAGAUAUCAGGAGGAACACCGGUGGCGAAGGCGGGUCUCUGGGCCGAUACUGACGCUGAGGAGCGAAAGCGUGGGGAGCGAACAGGAUUAGAUACCCUGGUAGUCCACGCUGUAAACGUUGGGCGCUAGGUGUGGGGGACCUCUCCGGUCUUCUGCGCCGCAGCUAACGCAUUAAGCGCCCCGCCUGGGGAGUACGGCGC